GAUGAACGCUGGCGGCGUGCUUAACACAUGCAAGUCGAACGGAAAGGCUAGUGCUUGCACUGGUACUCGAGUGGCGAACGGGUGAGUAACACGUGGGUGAUCUGCCCUGCACUUCGGGAUAAGCCUGGGAAACUGGGUCUAAUACCGCAUAGGACCAUCGUUUCGGCUCGGUGGUGGAAAGUUUUUCGGUGUGGGAUGAGCUCGCGGCCUAUCGGCUUGUUGGUGGGGUAAUGGCCUACCAAGGCGUCGACGGGUAGCCGGCCUGAGAGGGUGUACGGCCACAUUGGGACUGAGAUACGGCCCAGACUCCUACGGGAGGCAGAAGUGGGGAAUAUUGCACAAUGGGCGCAAGCCUGAUGCAGCGACGCCGCGUGGGGGAUGACGGCCUUCGGGUUGUAAACUCCUUUCGUCAGGGACGAAGCGAAAGUGACGGUACCUGGAUAAGAAGCACCGGCUAACUACGUG
rnacentral:rRNA from 1 species